ACAGCCACAUCACAGUGAAACAGCAGUUCCCGUACGUUCACCAAAGUUAAGCAACAUCGAGCCUGGUCAGUACCUAGCUAGGUGACCGUUUGUGAAUACCAGGUGCUGUAA